GAGGUGGCGGUGCUGGUGCAGCGGGUGGUGAAGGACAUCACCAACGCCUUUAGGAGGAACCCGCACAUGUGAUGCUAAAAGAAUUAAGAAGCCCUCAGAUGUCUUGCUCCCUUGUGGCACACAAUUGGACACCUGCAACUGUGCCUCAUUAAAAACAAAACACUGCUGACCUCAAAAAACACCUGCCACCUCUGACAGGACACCCUUCCUUUCGUUUAUGACUGUUGCCUUUUUCAAAAAUCAGUAUUUGGAAUAACUUCCUGGCAGUAACCAUAGUGGUUGCUGGGCUUUGUAAAGAAUGCUUUGAUGCCUGGUUGCAUGUCAGCCUUUCAAUCCUUAUUUGAAACUGGGAGCUUCAGUACAAAUAAGACACACCCUCAAAAACAAGUUGGACUAAUGAAGAUCCUCUUUUCUCGUCACUGGUGUUAUUUUUCUAGAAGAAAUUGGAGCAGAAUUAGGAGUCUAAUAAAUACAGUAAUCACUUUAGUUUCUCUUUGAGGUAGACUAAAUGUAUCAUUUUCUAUUUGAAAAAACAGACUAUUUCUGAUUGAGUGUUAAUGGGUUUGGCAGGUUGACACAAUGCAGUUUGGAACUUGUCCCAAUUCUUCUGGAUCAUAUUUAUCAAAACUCAUAAAGGACUUAAACCCUUUAAGUCCUAAAAAUACAAACCUUCCCUUCAUAUUUUUCUGUGAAAUGUCAUUAAAAUAUCUUGAACCAGUAUGCAACUUAAAAUUUUAUUAAUAAGCAUUGGGGUCAUUUAGGAUUUAAAAGUUAGCGAUAAGUUAGGUGUCUGAAAUAAUUUGAAAUAAUGGCAUGUAACAUAGAUCUGAGACAUUUAAAUAGCUUCAUUAGCUUAUUUAAUAUUAGCAGCUGUAUUUUAGCCCAUAUUUCUUACAGUAAAAAUAACUUCAAUAAUAUUGUAAUGCAUCUUUUAAAAUUUCUUAUAAUUUGGGUUUUUUUUAAUUGCUGGUACCUGUUUCUUUAAUUUAGCCAUUUUACUUCCUAAAUAAGGGGUUAUGUAUUUAUUUUAAAAAGGAAGAAUGUUGUUACCUUUAACAUCAGUAUCUAUUUACAAUAUUUUAAAAGUUUUAUUCUUUUUGUUUUCCUUUUUUUUCCGAACACAAGGUAGAUUAUAAUUUUGUUUGUCGACAUCUACUCCUUUGAAUAUAUUGACUUUUGCCUACAUAGAAAUAGCUAAUCAGGAAUAGUCAAAGGUACAGUAAGUGAGAUGUGGAUUCAUUAUCCUCUGUCAGCCUCAGUUUCCUCUUGCUCUUGUAAGGCUAAUGAGAACACAAGAAAAUCAUCUCACAUAGUCUUACUUAGUUGCCAUUAGGCAAAUACUAGACUCAACCUGAAUCUCUAUGUUCUUUGCUGAAAAUAUAGUGACCAAAUGAAUGAUGAAUAUGAAAUACUUUAUAAAAUGGAAAAUAACCUAGCAAAUUUUGUUUAUAUUCAUUAGUUGACUCUUAGAGAAUCCUUAUUCAUUCUCUGUAACUAAAGGCUUGAUCUAGGGAUAGGCAUUAUCCCAACAUACAGACCUUAUAUUAAUGUGGAAAACAGCUGUUUACAGUGUAAUCAGGGUCACAUUAAAGUUAUGAAUAAUAAUAUUUUUACUGUAUUGAUUGUUUAACAGUUUUGAGGUGCUAAAGGUACCAUCUUCACUGUAUGGAAUAAGAAGAUGUAUAAAAUAAUAUUUCUUGUACUGAAGGCACUCAGAAAUUUCUGAUGAUGAAAAUGUUCUGUAUCUGUGCCAUACUAGCCAUAUGUAACUGUCAAACACUUGAAAUUAGCCUAAUGUGAAUGAGUAAUCAAAUUUAAAUUUUUUUUUGCUUUAAGUUGAUUUAUGGCCUCAUAAGUCCAGUGACUACUGUAUUACAUGGUCUAGAUCUAGCUGAAGGCCUAAGAUCCACAGGCUUGAACAGUAAAGUAACCUUGCAAAGCAGUUAACAGUAAAGGCUGUAUUAACAGUAUGGUAAGUACAUACUGUGAGUGUUAGAAGUAGAGGGGAGGCUGGGGGUAUCUGGGCUCUUAGGGGAGGUGGAUUUUAAGCUAAUUGAAGUCUGGUUAGGAUUUAGAGUCUCAGGCUAAGAUGUUCUAAGAGCAGAGAAAUAACCAACAGUAGCAAAAUGAGAAGCUACUGAAGAGACAGAUCAUGAAAGUCUUUAGCUGUCAGGUUGAAUUUAUUUCAUUCCAUUCAUAUGUUCUGCAAAAGAGCACCUCUUUUGACAGACACAGUGCUUGUUUCUGGAGGUAGUAGACUAGGAGUUGGGUGUCAGGCCAGACAUGGAAUCCUGUCCUUUAGUGGAACUUAAAACAAAUCAGUAUAUACAGAUUAUGAAAAGAGGCAGAAAGAGUAAUUAUUAAGAGUGUUUUGAAAGAAUAAUAACAGGGAGGCCUUACUUAGGUUAGAAGGUCAAGAUGCUUCUUUCUGAGAAAAUAGUAAUUAAUAAAUUGAAACGAGAGGGAUGAAGGAUAGUUGGUUUGGGAAAGUAUACUUCUAAGCAGAUCCUAGUGAAAAUCUGUAAGGAAAUAGAAUGACAGGCACUUUUAAAUUGUCUGCCAGUUGAAUUGAAGAAUAGGAAACCAAAAGAUCUAAAGUUUUCUUUUUUUAUUGCUGCCAGGGAUUGAACUCAGGGGCACUCUAUGACUGAGGCACAUCCCCAACCCUAUUUUGUGUUUUUAUUUAGAGCCAGAGUGUCACUGAAUUGCUUAGUGCCUCAAUUUUGCUGAGGCUGGCUUUGAACUCUCAAUCUUCCUGCCCCAGCCUCCCAAGACACUGGGAUUACAGGAAUGUGCCACCACGCCCGGCCAGGAUCUACAAUCUUGUGUUAGGAUUUUAUAUUUAAAUUUUGUUGAAACAGUAGUAUCAUUGUAAAAGUUUGGUUAUAGGGUUUGAGAGACAUUUAUUUACUGACUGCAUAAACAAGACUGUUUUCUCAUUUGUAAAAUGAGAAUCAAUUUUUGCUGUUCAAGAUUAUUGUGCAGAAUAAAAGAAAUCAUGUAAAACCUAAUACAACUUUAUAAUAAACAAUAUACAGUA